UAGUCAGUCAUCAUAUGUGUCAAGCAGAACUAUUUAAGGCUCCACUGCCUUCAAAAUCAGAUCACCAAGUUUUGUAUCUUCAAGCCAACUUUGAAUGGUAGUUGCAAAUCACUUCUUUUAGGAACACUCUUGGGGAAAUCGAGCAUUUGAUGAUGUUAACUUACAUUCUGACAAAUACAGGUCAUUGUCUUCAUUUUCAGUCUUCAGCAACCCAACCAUCAUGAUUCACUUCACCAUUGGAUUGCACAACUGCCACUUCACUAUUAUCCUCUUUUGCAAGGAAAUGGGGAUCCACAAACAUUGAAGACACAUUCUGUGAGAGAGUAGUUUCUAAAUCUGGAUUGGCAUGGUCAGUAGCUGAAAUGGAAUGGAAGUCCUGAUCUCCAACCAUUGAAGAGGGGAGAGACUGUGAACUUCUAAUAACCCUCUACUGAUUUUGCUGACUACUUGCAGUUUUCACUGAAGACAUGGAACUACCCUGAACAGGAUAGGACUCCUCAUUAAGAGAUGCUAGUCGGCAAAAGAACUCAAAAUUAGAGGCAGACAACAAGAUGGCUCAAAAAGAACAUAAAUGUUCCUACAGUUGACAGCAACAAGGUAUUUUAGUAACUGAAAUAUCACCUUUCCCAGAAGUUAAUUGAUCAAACCAUUUGCGAUUCAAAAUAUGAAUGUGACCCCAUCUUUUAGCAACCUUGUAUUUAUCUUCUGGAGCUUACAGCCAGUCAAGGGCAUCGUAGUGGGACUCACAGUGCUACAGAGCAUCAUGUAUGAGGCCAAUAGAAAGAUUCAAUGGUAAUAACAUUGCUGAGCAAUGUGCUUUGAGCAACCAACAGGCAGUCCUAACUCACAUUGGAAAAGCGAGAACUGGCUGAGGAUCUUUUAACAAUUGGCAGUUCAAAUUGUAGGUUCUUUAACACCUUGUUUCCUUGAACCACAGAACACAAUUCUUUAGGACUGAUUUAGAAGUCAAAGAUAUUCUCAUGCCGGGAAGUUUCACUGUUUCUCAUAUGAGUAAUCAAAUUCCCAAGUAAAAGGAUAAUACCAAAAACCAGGAUUAAAUCAAGUAUAGCUAUUUCCUAUUUCAAACUAUAAUCGUCACUAAACCUUGAAAUGAUACAGAUUUUUCUUUUCAAACUCUUAAAGGUGUUUUCAUAGGCGAAGACAAGAUAAAGAUAUGUGCAUUUUCAAACGGCGAUCUGAUAUCAAAGGGAAAAUAUGCAAGCAAAUCACUGGACUUUAAUCUUGAAGAAGAAAAAGUUAUUUCUGCAAUUAAAUGAGUGCACUUCCUGGUCAAUUCUGCAGAAUAUUUCCCACCAUUUUGUGUGAUAUGCUUCUGAAUCUCCUUUUGUGCAUUUAAGAUAAUGAAGGACAUCAAAAUUGAAGAACUGGAGGACAACCAACAGCAGCAGCUAUAUCAAAUAAUCAGUAUGUGCAGGAAUUCCUGUGACACAUACAUUGUCGAUCCAGAAAAUGGAAGAACUCUGUAAGACUCCUGAGGUACAACACGGUGCACAACACAACAUUGGUAUAACCAAUUAAUGGCGACAACAGGUUUCUUCAGAACAUUUAAAGCCCACUGCAUGAUGACAACAUUAAUUGAUAAAUACAAUUUAUCUUUCAAGAUGAAAUUCAUAAAAGACUUUGCACACGGAAUAUUCAAAAAAAUAUGGAGGAAACUCUUCUUUAGUUCAGCCAACUCAAUGAGAGUACUACCCACAAUACUUCCCAUACUUAGUGAAAAAGCAUAAUGAAUCUCAUUUAAGGUGAUUUAACCUUAACAAGAUACAACAAAUUCGCAACUCUUAAACUAAAUUCAAAUUAUUAACUCCAAGACUUAAACCUUGCAUUUUGCAGCCAAAAUAUUAUUUGCAAUUACGAAGCUAACAUUGCUGAAGUUUUGGUCUUAGAACUCCCCCCGUUGAACUAACCAAUUUCUCA
rnacentral:lncRNA from 1 species